CCGACUCUAAAUAGGUCGCGAAUAAGGGGUGGGUAAGGACGGUGCCAGCCGCCGCGGUAAUACCGGUGCCUCAAGUGGUAGUCGCUUUUAUUGGGCCUAAAACGUCCGUAGCCGGUCUGGUACAUUCGUGGGUAAAUCAACUCGCUCAACGAGUUGAAUUCUGCGAGGACGGCCAGACUUGGGACCGGGAGAGGUGUGGGGUACUCUCAGGAUAGGGGUAAAAUCCUGUCAUCCUGAGAGGACCACCUGUUGCGAAGGCUCCACACUAGAACGGAUCCGACGGUCAGGGACGAAGCCUAGGGGCACGAACCGGAUUAGAUACCCGGGUAGUCCUAGGUGUAAACGCUGUGGACUUGAUGUUGGGGACGCUCCGAGCGUUCUCAGUGUCGAAGCGAAGGUGAUAAGUCCACUGCCUGGGGAGUACGGUCGCAAGGCUGAAACUUAAAGGAAUUGGCGGGGGAGCACCGCAACCUGAGGAUUGUGCGGUUUAAUUGGAUUCAACGCCGGAAAUC
rnacentral:rRNA from 1 species